rnacentral:rRNA from 1 species
GACGAAAGCUGGCGGCGUGCUUAACACAUGCAAGUCGAACGAUGAAGCCGGAGCUUGCUCUGGUGAAUUAGUGGCGAACGGGUGAGUAACACGUGAGUAACCUGCCCUUGACUCUGGGAUAACUGCGGGAAACUGUAGCUAAUACCGGAUACGACCCUCGGAGGCAUCUCCUGGGGGUGGAAAGAAUUUCGGUCAAGGAUGGACUCGCGGCCUAUCAGCUAGUUGGUGAGGUAAAGGCUCACCAAGGCGACGACGGGUAGCCGGCCUGAGAGGGGGACCGGCCACACUGGGACUGAGACACGGCCCAGACUCCUACGGGAGGCAGCAGUGGGGAAUAUUGCACAAUGGGCGCAAGCCUGAUGCAGCGACGCCGCGUGAGGGAUGACGGCCUUCGGGUUGUAAACCUCUUUCAGCACCGACGAAGCGCAAGUGACGGUAGGUGCAUAAGAAGGACCGGCCAACUACGUGCCAGCCGCCGCGGUAA